rnacentral:rRNA from 1 species
AUGGCGACAGCGUUCUCAACGAAGCAGCCGCUGCGGGUCGCUACGCCUACAAACAAAUGGCGUCCAAGGUUGCCGCUAAUUAAAAUGCAAUAUUCGUCCAACAAACGAGCCAGUGCUUCCAUUUCAUUGCCAUCCAGUGCCGAGGGUGUGGAGAGAAACGAGCCCAUAGUCAAAAUGUGUGGCAUCACAUCUGCUAGAGAUGCAGAAUUCGCUGCAAAGGCUGGAGCUAAACUUAUCGGGAUGAUUCUUUGGCCCAAGUCCAAACGAUCUGUCCAACGGUCAGAAGCGAAGGAAAUAUCCAGAGUAGCAAAGUCAUAUGGGGCUGAAGCUGUUGGUGUGUUUGUCGAUGAUGACGAAGAGACCAUCUUAAGAGUAGCCGAUUCAUGCAACCUUCAACUUAUUCAGCUUCAUGGAGAUAGUUCUCGGGCACUAGUUCCUGCUCUUGCCAAGAACAACCGAAUUGUGUAUGUUCUUAAUGCUGACGCGGACGGAAAACUUAUCAAUUCCCCCCCCAGUGAAGAAUACGACAUUGACUGGUUUUUGGUGGACAGUGCAGAGGGUGGAAGCGGCAAAGGAUUCAACUGGGACAAUUUUCGAAUGCCAUCGGUGAAAAGCAAGAACGGCUGGCUGCUAGCAGGAGGCCUUCAUGCGGACAAUGUUUGCCAAGCUGCUUCCGCUCUAAAACCAAAUGGUGUGGAUGUUAGCAGUGGAAUAUGCUCUCCUGACGGUAUAAGCAAGGACCCGAAGAGGAUAUCGUCCUUCAUGAGAAGCGUGCAAUCCUUAAGUUCCCGACGAGGUCUCUAUUUAGACGCCCCAGGCUUAUUGUAG